ACAAACCGGAAGAACAUUUCCCCUAAUCAAAUAUCAAAAGCUAGGUUCUUGAUUUUCCGUACGAUAAGGAUCCUGAUUUGUAUAUCAAUCAGCCUGCUCUGAUACCAAUUGUUAGGUCCAAAGUAUCGUAGAAGGGGGGGUUGAAUACGAUACUCACUACAAUUUAAAAUUCUUUCGAAUCUUGCGGAUAAAUAAAUUGCAGUCCUGUAAUGGGUUUCGUGUUCCGGAUAUAUAUUGGGUCGGUUUCUGAGGAUAUUAAAAUAUGAAACCAACACACAAUAUUUUCAAGGUAUAUCUGUAUAUUGAUAAAUACCUCGAAGGGUGCUAUAAAUCCAAACCCGAAGGUUCGGCUACAAUGGCCACUACUCUCAAAAUUACAAACUCUAACCGCUACGGAUAUUUCUAUUACAAAGCUAGGCUAGGGUGUAUAUAUAGUGGGAGUAGCCGUGCAGAGCAAUUGUCCAUUUCAUCCCGAAGGAUGAUUGAAUUGUGAGAACCACAAUCACUUAUUUAUAGGCUUCAUAAACUAACCAUGGUUACUGAGUUCGUCCUGGACGAAUUGAGUUCGUCCUGGACGAAUUCAUAUGUAACUGUGGAAUUAAUAUAAUUUAUUUAACCAUACUAUUAAUUUCUAAAAUAAAUUUAAGCAAAUUUAUUAAAUGAAUUUAGUAAAGUUUAUAAAGUAAAUUUAAUUAAGUUUAUAAGAUAAAUUUAAUUAAUUCAUAAUAAACUCAAUUAAUAAGUUUAAAAUAAAUUAAGUCAAAUUUAUAAAAUAAACUUAUUAAAAUUUAAAGUAUAAAUUUAUAAGUCCCGGUCCAAAGUUCAGUAUCCGACAGAUAAUCCUUGUUUAGGCCUACAGACAAAUUCAGCAACACAAACCGGAAGAACAUUUCCCCUAAUCAAAUAUCAAAAGCUAGGUUCUUGAUUUUCCGUACGAUAAGGAUCCUGAUUUGUAUAUCAAUCAGCCUGCUCUGAUACCAAUUGUUAGGUCCAAAGUAUCGUAGAAGGGGGGGUUGAAUACGAUACUCACUACAAUUUAAAAUUCUUUCGAAUCUUGCGGAUAAAUAAAUUGCAGUCCUGUAAUGGGUUUCGUGUUCCGGAUAUAUAUUGGGUCGGUUUCUGAGGAUAUUAAAAUAUGAAACCAACACACAAUAUUUUCAAGGUAUAUCUGUAUAUUGAUAAA
rnacentral:lncRNA from 1 species